rnacentral:rRNA from 1 species
UACAGAGGGGGCAAGCGUUGUUCGGAAUUACUGGGCGUAAAGGGCGCGUAGGCAGCCUGUUAAGUCGAACGUGAAAUCCCCGGGCUCAACCCGGGAACUGCGUCCGAUACUGGCAGGCUUGAAUCCGGGAGAGGGAUGUGGAAUUCCAGGUGUAGCGGUGAAAUGCGCAGAUAUCAGGAGGAACACCGAUGGCGAAGGCAGGUCUCUGGGCAUUAACUGACGCUGAGGAGCGAAAGCAUGGGGAGCGAACAGG